rnacentral:rRNA from 1 species
GAUGAACGCUGGCGGCGUGCCUAAUACAUGCAAGUCGAGCGAACAGACGAGGAGCUUGCUCCUCUGACGUUAGCGGCGGACGGGUGAGUAACACGUGGAUAACCUACCUAUAAGACUGGGAUAACUUCGGGAAACCGGAGCUAAUACCGGAUAACAUGUUGAACCGCAUGGUUCAACAGUGAAAGACGGUCUUGCUGUCACUUAUAGAUGGAUCCGCGCCGCAUUAGCUAGUUGGUAAGGUAACGGCUUACCAAGGCAACGAUGCGUAGCCGACCUGAGAGGGUGAUCGGCCACACUUGAACUGAGACACGGUCCAGACUCCUACGGGAGGCAGCAGUAGGGAAUCUUCCGCAAAGGGCGAAAGCCUGACGGAGCAACGCCGCGUGAGUGAAGAAGGUCUUCGGAUCGUAAAACGCUGUUAUUAGGGAAGAACAAAUGUGUAAGUAACUAUGCACGUCUUGACGGUACCUAAUCAGAAAGCCACGGCUAACUACGUG